rnacentral:lncRNA from 1 species
CACCUCUGUCUCCUGCGCGGGAUACGUGUCGGCCCGGAGAUCUCUGUAAUAGGUCUCUGUAAUAAACCUCGCCUUUGCUUAUUACAUCCAAAAUGGUCUCUCUGUGUCUGGGGUCCGCGAUUUCCCAAGACUUGAGUAAGGGUCUCUCUGCCUGGGAUCUUUCAUAAUGGGGGCUCGUCCGGGAUCUGCGCGACCAACCCAGACUCCAAAGACCCCUUGUAGCCUGCAGAGAGAAAUACCAAUUAAUUUUCGAAGAAUGCAUGGUGUUGACCACUCGUAUCCCAGGACUCAGUGAACAGAGACAGGAGGAAAAUAAAUGAAAGGUCAAUAUGAGUGACGCAGAGAAAUACUUUGAAAAAUCAGGACACAAAACAAAGAACCAAAAUUAAUUUUUGGUUAAUUAAUUAAUUAAUUAAUUGUUCAUGGCUUGAAAUUAUUUAUUUACAAAGCACCAUAAAGCACAGACUCAGAACGA